rnacentral:rRNA from 1 species
CGACUACAUGAAGCUGGAAUCGCUAGUAAUCGCAGGUCAGCAUACUGCGGUGAAUACGUUCCCGGGUCUUGUACACACCGCCCGUCACACCAUGGGAGCCGGUAAUACCCGAAGCCAGUGACCCAACCUUAGGGAGGGAGCUGUCGAAGGUGGAGCCGGUAACUGGGGUGAAGUCGUAACAAGGUACC